rnacentral:rRNA from 1 species
UCAAGAUGUGUUAAUAAAUUAGAAAAUAAAAACAAGUGUUUAAAACCUAAAGAUCAUGGCGGUGUCUUAUCUACUCAGGGGAACCUGUUCUUUAAUUCGAUAUUCCACGUUUUUCAAUCCUUAACUUGCUCUCAAUCUGUAUACUACUGUCGCAGUAAACCUUUAUAAGGAUGUUUACUAAUUUACAUAAUAAAAACGUCAAGUCAUAGUGCAGUUUAUGUUAAGGAAGAAAUGGGUUACAACCUUAAAACAGACACUAGUAAAAAUUUAUAGAAAAUUUUAAAGGUGGACUUGAUAGUAAUAUAUAAUAAAUAUAAACAAAAUUUUAAGACAUGUACACAUCGCCCGUCGCUCCCAUAAAAUAG